UAAUCGAUUGUCUAUACACUUCUGAUAUUUUGACUGAAGCCUUUCAUUAUAUAUAAUAUAAAAUUGUUCUCAAACACGAUUUUCGUAUGAGGUUUUUUUACCCCAUGUAAAAAAAGUGUAUUUCAUUUAAAUAGAAUACUAAUUUGAUACGAAUAAGUUAAUUUUUAUUCAUAAUUUUAAUUUUGAAAACGUGUUCAUUCCGCCUGAAAAUUAAUUACUAUCUUGGACGCUCCCAAAAUCAUGAAACGAAGCUCAGUGCCGUCAACGCGAAUAUCAACAAACACAGCACAAACGAAAAACAGAAUGUGAAAAACAAGUUAGAACCAGACAAGAAAAACAUCAAAAUGGACUCAGAAUAACAUUUUGAUAAAUCGUGGUGAGAGUGUUCUACAAGUGGCUGACGAAACGGGCCUUCCACGGUCGACAGUUUACGGAAUCGAGAAGCAAGAAAUAGCAUUGCGGUAUUGCAAGGCGUUGGUCAACUAAACUAUCCCCUGAUUUCGAGAUAAUAAUAGGAAAUAUAAAGGUAGAGAAACCAGAUGCCGAAAUCGACACAACUAUCGUUAAGGAAGAAUAUGAUGUGAAACUUAAAAAUACGAAUGCAAUCACUCAGCCCAUGGCGCCGAAGAAAUUAACCAAGAACAUUCAUAAACUUAUCAAAAAAGCAUCAAAACACAAAUCUUAUUUACGAUAUGGAUUAAAGGAUGUUCAAGUGCGUCCGCGGAAUAAUGAAACAGGGAAAGCAAUGUGUAUAUUGUGUGUUGAAAUGGAGGUUGCAAUUUAUAAAAAAGAUUGUCAUUUUCGCUGCAGAAAAGUGGAAAUCAUGUGUCACUUGCCAUCUGUUUGUGAGAAACGCAAUAUCCCAUAUUGCUAUACGCCGAGUCGGAAGACUUGGGAGCAGCAGUGGGUGUGAAAUGAGGCACAGUCGCAAUACUAAUCCGAGAGCAGCCCGAUUAUCAGGAAC